GACGAACGCUGGCGGCGUGCUUAACACAUGCAAGUCGAACGGGAAGGCCUGCUUUCCCUUGUGGAUUGCGGGUACUCGAGUGGCGAACGGGUGAGUAACACGUGAGUGAUCUGCCCCCAACUUGGGUAUAAGCCUGGGAAACUGGGUCUAAUUCCCGAUAGGACUGCAGGGUGGUGCCUGUGGUGGAAAACGAUUUUCUAGUGGUUGGGGAUGAGCUCGCGGCCUAUCAGCUUGUUGGUGGGGUAAUGGCCUACCAAGGCGGCGACGGGUAGCCGGCCUGAGAGGGUGGACGGCCACAUUGGGACUGAGAUACGGCCCAGACUCCUACGGGAGGCAGCAGUGGGGAAUAUUGCACAAGGGGCGGAAGCCUGAUGCAGCGACGCCGCGUGGGGGAUGACGGCCUUCGGGUUGUAAACUCCUUUCGACCGCGAGGAAGCCACCUGGUUGGAAGGGUGGUGACGGUAGUGGUAGAAGAAGCACCGGCUAACUACGUG
rnacentral:rRNA from 1 species